AUUGAACGCUGGCGGAAUGCUUUACACAUGCAAGUCGAACGGCAGCACGGACUUCGGUCUGGUGGCGAGUGGCGAACGGGUGAGUAAUGUAUCGGAACGUGCCCAGUCGUGGGGGAUAACGUAGUGAAAAUUACGCUAAUACCGCAUACGAUCUAUGGAUGAAAGCGGGGGAUCGCAAGACCUCGCGCGAUUGGAGCGGCCGAUAUCAGAUUAGGUAGUUGGUGGGGUAAAGGCCCACCAAGCCAACGAUCGGUAGCUGGGCUGAGAGGACGACCAGCCACACUGGAACUGAGGCACGGUCCAGCCUCCUACGGGAGGCAGCAGUGGGGAAUUUUGGACAAUUGGCGAAAGCCUGAUCCAGCCAUUCCGCGUGCAGGAUGAAGGCCCUCGAGUUGUAAACUGCUUUUGUACAGAACGAAAAGGUUUCUACUAAUACUAGGAGCUCAUGACGGUACUGUAAGAAUAAGCACCGGCUAACUACGUGCCAGCAGCCGCAGUAA
rnacentral:rRNA from 1 species